GAGUUCCAGGUGCAGGCUCCAGCCCGGGGAACUCUGGGAAGAGUGUACCCAGGCAGCAGGAGCUCAGAAAAGCACAGCCCUGACAGUGCCUGCUCUGUGGAUUACAGCAGCAGCUGCCUUUCCAGCCCGGAGCAUCCCACUGAAGACUCUGAGAGCACGGAGCCCCUCAGUGUGGAUGGCAUCUCCUCAGACCUUGAAGAGCCAGCUGAGGGCGAUGAAGAAGAGGAAGAGGAGGGAGGCAUGGGCCCCUAUGGGCUACAGGAGGGCAGCCCCCAGACUCCAGACCAGGAGCAGUUUCUAAAACAGCACUUUGAGACUCUGGCCAAUGGAGCUGCUCCAGGGGCCCCAGUGAAGGUGCCAGAGAGGUCAGAGUCUCGGAGUAUCUCUUCACGAUUCCUGUUGCAAGUACAGACCCGCCCACUCAGGUACAGAGGCCCCCUACCCCCCCAGCAGCAGCUCCGGCUCUCCUGGCCUCCCAGGGCUGCUGCCCUCUCCUCUCCAGUGUUCUGUCUCUCCAUGCCCGGGGUGUUUUGCACUCCCGGCUUUGGGCUAACUGGCCUU
rnacentral:sRNA from 1 species